CCUACGGGAGGCAGCAGUGGGGAAUAUUGCACAAUGGGGGGAACCCUGAUGCAGCGACGCCGCGUGAGUGAAGCAGUAUUUCGGUAUGUAAAGCUCUAUCAGCAGGAACGAGACAAGACGGUACCUGACUAAGAAGCCCCGGCUAACUACGUGCCAGCAGCCGCGGUAAUACGUAGGGGGCAAGCGUUAUCCGGAAUCACUGGGUGUAAAGGGAGCGUAGACGGCUGAGCAAGCCUGAAGUGGAAGGCGGUGGCCCAACCCCCGGACUGCUUUGGGAACGGUACGGCUGGAGUGCAGGAGAGGUAAGUGGAAUUCCUAGUGUAGCGGUGAAAUGCGUAGAUAUUAGGAGGAACACCAGUGGCGAAGGCGGCUUACUGGACUGUAACUGACGUUGAGGCUCGAAAGCGUGGGGAGCAAACAGGAUUAGAUACCCUAGUAGUC
rnacentral:rRNA from 1 species